GCCUACUCAAUGUGAAGAUGAGGAUGAAGAUUUUGUGAUGACCCACCUUUUUUAAAUAAAUGAAACUACCUGGACCUUACUAAAGAGACUGCCUCCAAAGAAUCUAGGCCACAUUUUUGGGGUUUGGAGGAUGCUUCGUCCCUCAAGUAGAGAAGAAGUGAUCCCAGAAGUGUUUCUUCCACCUAAGACAACACUGGAGGAUUUAUUGAGAUAUUGCUGGCAGACCUCCCUGUUCACAGAUCUUGGUUUUGCUGUGUUCACAAAUCCCUAAGAAGUUUACCUUGGAAUAUGAGGGGAGCCCCCAGAGACCACUGCUUUUAUUUUUGGCUUAGCCCGAGCCUCUCAAAUACAGAAGCACCUUUCUGUCAGAUCGUCAGGUCACCUCUGCAUGGACCAGCCUUCAUUCCUGAACGGGCCUUUAGACAUCUGACUCACAGCAGAAAAAGAUCACUUUGACUUUCUAUUUACAUUUCAUUUGGCAGAAAGCAGCAAACUACACUUUGAAGGUAAAGCGACGUAUCCAAACUUCCUUGUCUUGACAUCCUGACUCAUCCAUUGGGCACAAAAAUCGUACAUAAUGAAGAUGCAUUUAACACACUUGCUUGUUGGUCUCUCUCACGUUUUUACUCUUACAUCUUCUUUCCAGAAUAUCCAUGUCUCUGACUUCAACAAGAAAAAUUUGUAGCAAGUUUUCAAAUUAUAACAUUUUUCUUGCAAAAAGUGAAGUAAAGAAGAAUGACUGGUAUAUUUGGGAUUAUGACUUUUCUUAUCCCUUUGGAUUUUGAAACUACUGAGUGAUUCAUAAUUCAUUUCUAGGCACUGAUACUAUUCUUCUGGCUGCCUCUAAGUCAUGAUAAGAAAAAAAAUAUCCGAGGGCAAAACGAGAAGCAACAUAUUUGUGGCUCAAGCUAGAUGAAUGGAAAAGAACAGAACACUCAGUGGGUUAAAUAGGAUACUGCAAAGCAAGGCUUAGUGAUUGAAUGGUCGCCCAGUUUAUAUUAAAGGACUUAUUUCCAUUUACAAAAUGAUUCCCUUUGUAUGGUUCAAGGAUUAAUGUGCUGGGCAUCUUCCCAGCUCUAAGCAUUUAUUUAAAAAAAGCUUUCCAUGUCAGGAAAAUUCAGGUUCUGCAGUGAUAAAUUUAAUGAUGAGAUGUAUAACUUGAAGAUCUGGUUAAUUUCAGGUGUUGAACAUCCUCCAAUCAUUUUUACUGGAAUGGGAGGGAUGCAUCCAGUGCCAUAACUCAAUUCCAGUUGUGUUAUCACCUCCAAUCAAAUGAAAAUGUCCUUGAAGCUGAGGAUAUGCAUUCCUGAACAUGCUUACACUCAACAUAUGGCUCCAUGAGGCCAAACUUCAAGAUGAAAGCAAAGGAAAUCAGACAGUUGCCAAGAAAUUUCAUAAUAUUAGCAAUAGAUCUGGACGAGUGACUGAAUUUUUCACUUUUCGUCCACCUUUGUGUAUAACUACCCAAAGUGUUGAAAUUUCUUGGUGGGUACUCUGACUUGGCAAUAACAAGCAUAAUAAGAUUCCUAAGAUCAUGGCUUGCAGUACUGUGAACACUAUUAACAUAUAUGCAUUUUUAAACAUUCCUGCUCAGGUGCCCUGGAGCAUACUCCAGUACCAUCACUUGCUUUCCAUGCAAGCUCUGAUCAUGGAUUAUAGGUUCCUGUCAGUCUUAGCACUGAGCCUGACAUAUGGUUGGCACUCAAUAUGGGUCUGGUGAAUAAAAUGAAACAACUCAAUGCAGUGGCAACUUAACCACAAUAGCUGCUGCAAUCAGAAUAAAUGUUUCAAAAGCUAAGCCAAGAAAGGUGUUUUGUUUUUUUUUUUUAAAUGCAGCUCUGAGAAAAAGCAGCUAAUACAAACAUGAAAAAUAAGAUAUGAGGCCAAUAAAUCAGCAAUGGGCUACCUUCACUUACUUGGUUAAUAUCUCAUUGAACUUGGGCUUCAUUUGGAGGAGAGUAGUAUAACCCCCAGAAACACAAAUAUUCACAGAGCAAUUAAGAACAGUUCAAAGACCAACAUUAAUUAAAAAGACAUUUCUUUACAAUUUCCCAUAAAGAACAUUAAAGGGGAGUCCACUCCUCAGUCCACAGCGAUGUUGACAUCUUUCCCUCUUCUCCAUUUCCUUCACAUAUCCCAGCAGUCAGAUCCUCUCUGUUAUCUCCUUACCCCCAACUCCCAAAACAAUACUUUUCUUCCUCUCCUACCCUACAGGGCUUUCUUCCCUCCUUUCCUUCCUCCACAGGAUUUCUCUUAGCCCUUUAUUAUGUAGAUAAACUUAGCUUCUCUUCACUAUAAAUUAUCUAUUCCCUUCAGGAAGGGUGUAGACGAGGAAUUGGUUAGAAAUUGCGGAAUGAUCUUUGGGAUGCUAGAAGAAUGGCCAAGUCCAUUCACAUUUCCAGAUUAAUCAUUUUUGUCCCAGUGCAGUAAUAUUUUUAUUCAGCCACUCAACAAGAAUCAGACUUUGAUAUGUAAAGAAAAUAAGAUCCCAUAAUGUGUGCAGCAUUCAUAAACACAAUUACUUUUAUAACCAUCACAGACAUUUCGAGGCACAGUAAAACUCACUCUUACAGAUGACUUAUCUGGUAUAGUAUGGUGACCAGGCAGAUACAUAGGACCAUAAACUUUUUACUAUGCAGAAUUGGUAAAAGGUAUGUUGCGGAACAUAGCAUCCUUGAACUGAACAUUUUCAGACUAAAGUAUGUCAUGCUUUAGACAGCAGCAUGUAACUAGUGGAGGGUGGAUAAACAGCCUAGCUUUAUGACAACUGGAAGUACUCAGGCAGUAGUACUCAGGCAGAUGCUCAAAACUAAGCUAGGUAUUUCACAUUGAUUCUCUGGUAGCAGCACACAUUGAAGGACCAUUUCUAAGGAAGGCUCUCAAGGGAACUUUUACAUCACUUAGUGGCAUUGGUUUGACGUAUCACUUCUUUCUAAGGUCUUUUCCAGCUCUGAUUAAACAAUUUCACAAAAUUAUAUCAACUAUAAGUGGCAGAAAUAUAUUGCUUAUUAAGUACAUAUGAUGUCUAGGAAUUGAUUGGUUAUUGUCCAUAUUGUGAAAACCUGAUUAAUUCCAGAAAGAUAAAAUAAUAUAAUAAAGAUAAGCACAUGAAAACCAGAACAUUACAUAUUCUGAUUGGUAUUUCAAAUAUUGUUGAUUGUAUUUGAAGAGUUACGUGGCUUUAAAAAACAGUAGCAUAUACGGGAGUUUAGCUGGAGUAAUAUUUUCAGUACAGUCUCUUCCUGCCUCUUCUGAUGCUGCCUUCUUUUAUAAAACAAAUUUUAAAAAAAUUAAAAAUAGAGACAGGCAGGGUUUUGCUAUGUUGCCCAGGCUGGUUACGAACUGCUGGGCUCAAGUGAUCUUCCCAUUUGGGCCUCCCAAAGUGCUGGGAUUAUAGGUGUGAGCCACCAUGCAUGGCUUUUUAAUGCCUCCUUAACCACGUUCCCCAUCCCCCAUCACGGCCAUCCUAUCUCUGUAGAAAUGGUUUCCAUCUAACAUAUAUUUACUUUCAAGUUGCAAGUGCAUCCUCAUGAACACCAGAAACCUCUCGGCCUUACUUUUUAAUUCUAGCCACUGCUGCAGUGGGUGGUCUGUGCCCUGCAGGCUUUGCUCACAACAGCACAGCUAGAACAGGUCAGCAGCACACCCCCUUCCUCUCCUUCCGCCCGCACUUUUUCUCUGGCCCAGUCAGAUACCUCUUGCUUCCUCUCUUGGGCUUUUCCAUUCCACAGAACUGUUGGACACUCACUCACACAUUUACUUCUAGAAACAUGAGGGCUAUAAUACCCAAGAGGCCAUCUUCUGGCACUGGGAGGUGGGAGCCAUUGUAGACAAGCUUUACUGUUUGCCCGCAGGUGACCAGAAGGCCCCAGUAGAAUAAAUCACAGUAUCCUGUAGCAGAGGCCAACUCUACAACAUAAUUUUGAACAAGUUUUCGCUCCUUUCAUGUUUUACUCUCCUGCCACCUGCCACGUACUCCUGUUCUGAAAGAUCAUAUUCCCAAAUAAACUAUGGGCACACGAGCGUGUCUCAAUAUUUGGGGAUGCACAGGCCAAAACAUGCAUAUGUCAUACUGUUGGGAAUCUUCUUAUCACUUUGUAAGAAAGAGUUACAUAAAAAUUGUUCCUAUGCUACUUUGUUUUUUGAUUACUAAAAACUUAGGCCUUGGAGAGGGAACCUACAAUUCAUACUAUCCAAUAGGUAGCCACUAGGUACAUGAGCACCUGAAAUACAGCUAGUAUGAAUUGAGAUAUACUGUAAGUACAAAGUAUAUACCAACUUUCAAGACAAUACAAAAAAAGUGAUAAUUUUUAUAUAGGUUUCAUGUUGAAAUAAUAUUUUUCAUAUAUUGGGUUAAAUAAAAUAUAUUAUUAAAAUGAAUUUUGCCAUUUUUAACACUUAAAAUGUGGCUAUUAGACAAUUUAGUAUUACAUGGGUGGCUCACAUUAUAUCCUUAUUGGCUGCUUCUACUGCAGUUGAAAAGGGACUUCAGAGACAUAUCAGUCAACUGCCAAGCACUUACUUAAAGCUAAUUGGAAUAAAAAUCAUGUAAAAAUUAUAAGACAAUGUGGAAAAUUUGAAAACUGCCUGGAUAUUUGAUGUGAGGAAUUACUGUUAACUCAUUUUUUAAGUGUGAUAAUGGUCUCAGGGUUUUUUUUUUAAAGAUUUAUUAUCUUUUAGAGAUAUACACCAAAAUAUUUAAGAAUGAAAUGAUGUAAUGUUAUAGUUUGCUCCAAAAGAAAGUAGGUAGGCAUAUAAAUGAAAUAAAUGUGGCUUUUGGUUGAUAAUUGGUGAAGUUAGAUAAUGGUAUUGGGAGUUUAUUAUCUUAUUGUCUCUACCUUUGUAUGCAUUUGAAAUUUUCUACAAGAAGAAAUGUUUUAUUAAAAUAAAUAAACUUUUGUCAAUGGCUAGUGAUAAAAAGACACUGACCUAUGGGCUGUGUAUACAAUUUUAUAUAUAUAUAUAUAUAUACACAUAGAUACUGAUAUAUAUAUCACUAUAUACUCUACUUCCCAGAAUUCAUUACUUAGCAAGAGGAUGGUACUUGCAAUUGUAUUAUGGUAGGUGUGCACA
rnacentral:lncRNA from 1 species